GGACUCCUUGAGACGGAUCAAGUUCGCGGGGGAAUAGUAUUUGUCCUGGCUCAAUUGAAUUGCUGGUGGCAUGAUUUAAACAUGCAGUCGAACGGUAACAGGUCUUCGGAUGCUGACGAGUGGCGAACGGGUGAGUAAUACAUCGGAACGUGCCUAGUAGUGGGGGAUAACUACUCGAAAGAGUAGCUAAUACCGCAUGAGAUCUACGGAUGAAAGCAGGGGACCUUCGGGCUUGUGCUACUAGAGCUUCUGAUGGCAGAUUAGGUAGUUGGUGGGGUAAAGGUUACCAGGCCUCCCCUCUGUAGCUGGUCUGAAAGACGACCCGGCCCCUGGGACUGAAACACGGCCCCAAUUCUUACGGAAGGAGCAGUGGGGAAUUUUUGACAAUGGCGAAACCUGAUUCAACAUGCCCGUGGAAGAUGAAGGCCCUCGAGUGUAACUUGUUUUGGUAAGAACGAAAGCCUGGGGCUAAUAUCCCCGGGUCUUGCCGUCCCGUAAGAAUAAGACC
rnacentral:rRNA from 1 species